AUUGAACGCUGGCGGCAGGCCUAACACAUGCAAGUCGAACGAGUGGCGGACGGGUGAGAAAUGUCUGGGAAACCGCACGAUGGAGGGGGAUAAAUACUGGAAACGGUAGCGAAUACCGCAUACCAUCGGCUAUGCCCAGAUGUGAUUAGCUUGUAGGUGAGGUAACGGCUCACCUAGGCGACGAUCCCUAGCUGGUCUGAGAGGAUGACCAGACACACUGGAACUGAGACACGGUCCAGACUCCUACGGGAGGCAGCAGUGGGGAAUAUUGCACAAUGGGCGCAAGCCUGAUGCAGCCAUGCCGCGUGUAUGAAGAAGGCCUUCGGGUUGUAAAGUACUUUCGGCGGGGAGGCGUUACCCGCAGAAUAAGCACCGGCUAACUCCGUGCCAGCAGCCGCGGUAAUUC
rnacentral:rRNA from 1 species